rnacentral:rRNA from 1 species
CAGCGCCACGAGUGGUGAUCAUAUUAUUGGGUCUAAAGCGUCCGUAGCCGGUUUGGUAAAUCUCUUGUGAAGUCGUUACGCUUAACGUAACGACGUGCAGGAGAAACUGCCAGACUAGGAACCGGGAGAGGUUAGGAGAAUGCUGGGGGGAGCGGUAAAAUGCUAUAAUCCUCAGUAGACUACCAGUGGCGAAGGCGCCUAACCAGAACGGGUUCGACGGUGAGGGACGAAAGCUAGGGGAGCAAUCCGGAUUAGAUACCCGAGUAGUCC